AUUGAACGCUGGCGGCAUGCCUUACACAUGCAAAUCGAACGGUAACGGGCCUUCGGGUGCCGACGAGUGGCGCACGGGUGAGUAAUACAUCGGAACGUGCCCGAUCGUGGGGGAUAACGAGGCGAAAGCUUUGCUAAUACCGCAUACGAUCUACGGAUGAAAGCAGGGGACCGCAAGGCCUUGCGCGGACGGAGCGGCCGAUGGCAGAUUAGGUAGUUGGUGGGAUAAAAGCUUACCAAGACGACGAUCUGUAGCUGGUCUGAGAGGAUGAUCAGCCACACUGGGACUGAGACACGGCCCAGACUCCUACGGGAGGCAGCAGUGGGGAAUUUUGGACAAUGGGCGCAAGCCUGAUCCAGCCAUGCCGCGUGCAGGAUGAAGGCCUUCGGGUUGUAAACUGAUUUUGUACGGAACGAAAAGCCUUCUUUUAAUACAGGAGGGUCAUGACGGUACCGUAAGAAUAAGCACCGGCUAACUACGUG
rnacentral:rRNA from 1 species